rnacentral:tRNA from 1 species
GGUGGCUCAAUGGUAGAGUGCUUGCCUCAUAUGCAUGAGGCUCUGGGCUCGAUUCCUUAGCACCA